AAAAAAAAAAUUUUAAUUUUUUAAAAAUUUUUUUAAUGUUUUUUUUAAGUUUUAUAUAAUUUUUUUUCGUUCCUUAAGUGAAAGUUAGUUCUUCGAAAAUAAAUGUGCUUGGUAGAACAACUUUCAAGUCUGCUAAGUUCUAUAAUAAGAUCAACAUUUAAAAAAAUACCACCCCUCCCCGCUUAGCUGUAAGACAGAAUUUACAUAUUAUAAGAAUAUUGUAUAUUAAUUAUUGAAGAAAAAUCCAAAAUUUC
rnacentral:lncRNA from 1 species